GGCCUGAUGGUCUAGUGGUAUGAUUCCUGCUUUGGGUGCAGGAGGCCCCGGGUGUAAGUUAUCACCCGUUCUGGUUCACAAUACGAACGCAGUCUCUAACAUGCGUUGUAGUCGAAUCCCGGUCAGGCCC
rnacentral:tRNA from 1 species